GUUUGUCCCUGGGCGCUUCGCUGGCCUCAUCCGGUCUCGGCCCUGUUCUGGGCCUGGCGCCUUUCCCAUUGUUGGGGAAAGUGGUCUAGGAGACCAAGGCAGCGUGCUGGGUGGGAGAGAAUGAUUUGUGGCUUCUGAUUCUGACAUAUGUCGUAGAGGAGGGGAGGGAUGAGUGACCCUGUUUUACUUAUGGAGAACCUGGGGCCAGAGCUGUUUUCCCAGGGUGACACAGGCGGUGUAUACAGAGCUCUAACUGUCCUGUUCCAACCAAAGGGGGAAAACCAAGAAGCACUUGUGAAGUUAACAUUUCAGAGACAGAGGAUCACUAAAAGGCUGAGACCUAAUCAUAGGACUGUGAUCACUCUUCUGUCCUUUGCCACCUUACUACGAUAUUACUGUAGGGCCUACUAACUGCAGUUCCUCUUACCCAGUACCUCAUGUCUGAUGUCAAGAAAAAAAUUACAAGUCAUA
rnacentral:lncRNA from 1 species